UCCUCCUUCUACUUUUGCUCUCUUUCUAUUACUGACAGAGAAUACAGGAGGGUGGGGCUGUGUUUCUGCUGGAGCAGGCCUAAGUUAGCCAAACCUCAACAGCUAAUUUAUGCAUUUUAUAGGUUGGUUUGGUGAGUGAGUUUUGCUUUGCUGUCAGGUCUGUUAAUGACACGUAAAAAGUGUGUAAGAGUAAUCUAGUAAUUGGAACCGUCAUAAAGGAAGACUACGAGUAAUAUUUUACAAGAUAUUGUCUCUCUGCUCCUUGUAUACAUGAUUUUUUAUAUAUAUAUAUAUAUAUAGGUUUUUGUUUUUUUUUUUGUUUUGUUUUUUUCCCAUCACAUUUCUAUUCCAGGUGAACUAGCAGUGAAGAGAAUGAGGUCUGAAGAAAUAGAGGAAUCUGUAGAGGUGAGGAGGUGUUUUUUUUUUUUUUUUUUUUUUUUUAAAUAGCUGUGUAUCUCUAGUCUGUGAUUAUUCUCUAUCCUUCCUGUCUAACACAGUUACCUUUAUCCAAAUUGCUGUUUGUGUGCCCUGAUGUGUAUUCAAAUAUGAUGCUGCAGGAAACCCAGGCUGAUAAGGAGGUGAAGGAAGACAAGAGCCAACAGGAACAAUGUGAGCAACAGCCUGUAAAAAACAGCAGUAAGAAAGCACAUAUACACACACACACACACAGCACACUCUAUAUCGGUGUAAAGUCAUACUUUAUAUGUUUAUUGCUAUGAUACUUGAUAUUUAUUGUAAAGACAUCACCUUGAUGGUUAUGAUCUUUGUAUCUUACAUUUCAGGUGGUUCUCCUUCAGUGAGCCAAUCAGAAGGACAAGAGGCUAAAGAGGAGACCUGCAGUGAGAAUAGACCAGAUGAUACUGAGGAGGAGCAACAGCAACUGAGGAUUCGGAUAAAAAGGACAAAAAGGCAGAAGAAAGUGAGCAGAAUGAUGAGGAGGAGGAAGAUAUUAAGAAAGAAGAGGAAGAAAAAGAAAUGGCAACCAGAGCUACAACACGACUAG
rnacentral:lncRNA from 1 species